AACGAACGCUGGCGGCAGGCCUAACACAUGCAAGUCGAACGCGUGUAGCAAUACACGAGUGGCGCACGGGUGAGUAACACGUGGGAACCUACCCAGAGGUUCGGAAUAACUGCGGGAAACUGCAGCUAAUACCGAAUAUACCCUACGGGGAAAGAUUUAUCGCCUUUGGACGGGCCCGCGUCCGAUUAGCUAGUUGGUGAGGUAAUGGCUCACCAAGGCGACGAUCGGUAGCUGGUCNGAGAGGAUGAUCAGCCACACUGGAACUGAGAUACGGUCCAGACUCCUACGGGAGGCAGCAGUGGGGAAUAUUGGGCAAUGGAGGCAACUCUGACCCAGCCAUGCCGCGUGGGUGACGAAGGUCUUCGGAUUGUAAAGCCCUUUCGGCGGGACGAUGAUGACGGUACCCGCAGAAGAAGCCCCGGCUAACUUCGUGCCAGCAGCCGCAGUAAC
rnacentral:rRNA from 1 species